rnacentral:misc_RNA from 1 species
CGUCAGUGACAGUGACAUCUGUCAUUAGUGUCAAACCGACCAAAUAAAAUUUUAUUGUCAACAAGCCAUAUUGAUAUUCCAUCAAUUUAUUUUUAAUUUUUUUUUUAAAAACAUUAGCUCUUAGUUAAACCUACGGCGGAAAUUAGGAUGGAUUCGACGAAGAAGGCAUCAUUGUCCGAUGAGGAGGAGGAUUUGGAAGCCUUGCGUUUGGCUGCAUUACAGACCUUAAAAAAACCUUCUAAUCCAAACGAGGGCUCGAAUAACGAUCUAAAAAACGAUGUGAGGCCUAAAAGGUCUUACAGGGCUGGCAUGAGAGGGCAAGGAAACUAUGGGGUUAAGAGAGGAAGAUAUUUUGGCCAUAGGGGGUCAAAGAAUGGUCAAUUUCACAACAGAGCUAUCUCCAGCAACUUAAUUUCCCUCACGCCCACCCUACCGUCAGAACCCAAGGCAACUAAAGAAGCCAGCAACGAUUCGAAGCUAACACUAACCCAAGACAGGUUCAAUAAUAAAGCAGACUCGGAAUCGGGCAAAACAGACGAAAAAUGCAGCAAAUUCGACCGCUACAAAGACUCCGAUGAAUCUGAAGACGAGGACACGGAAGACGAAUUAUUAAGAAGCGACUCAGACGACGACAGUCCUUUAAAAUUAACGAGAUCGGAUAGUUUGGAGGCCUUGAUGCAAGAGCUCGAUGACGAGAUACAGGGCAAAACAAAAAUCAACAGCGAAGAGAAAAGUAAAGGCAAAAUAAAAAGUAAAAGGAAAAGAGUUGAGACUGAACAAGAAAGUGAAAAACCGGCACCCACAGUCGAAUCCUCCCCUAAAGAGAUAGAAAAAACUCUUGAGGAACCUAAAGAAGUAAUCAAAUCAGAAGAACUUGCUACACACGCAGAACCCCCUAAACCAACUUCACUACCGAAAUCACCUGAGCUUCAACAACCCCCAAAAAAGUGUCGCCGCUCACCACCAUUUAAACGAGAAUUCCGAGAUGGGCCCAGGGGUAAUCCGCGGAAAUUUCAGCGCGUCACACCACCACAAAAUAAUCCUCUGCCGCCCUUUAUGCCCGUUCCUCCAGUUUAUUCACUUCCCGCUUUUGCCCCGGGCGUAAUAAUGAACCCUGCUCCUUUUUUGGAUGCCAGGCCAAUAUCUCCCCUUCACAUUAACGCGGAAACAUUACAAAAUCAAACUCUGGCCCCCUUAUCGCCCAGAAGCGCCGCUUUCGUGCUGCAAAAUAGAGCCAUUAUAGAAAAGCGAAAAAGGUCACCAAGGAGAUCGUAUUCCAGAAGUCCCUCCCCAAGGAGCCCUAGAAGGUCAGUUUCGCCACGAAGAAGGUCUUUGUCGCCUAGAGAUCCGAUAAGAAAAAGGUCUCUAACUCCAAUAAGAAAGAGGUUACCAUCCCCGUUUCGAAAACGAUCACUGUCUCCAUUAAGAAAAAGAUCGCCGAGAAGAAGAUCGAUUAGUCCCAAACGAAGACCAUUUAGUCCCAAGCAAAGACCAAUUAGCCCUAAAGCGAAACAAAACAGUCCUAAAAGGAGAUCGUUAUCACCACUGAGACGUAGAGAUCGAGACAGGAAAGUUACCGCAGAACCUACUGAGGGUGCCUCAAAACCGAAGCAAAGUAUUCGGGAGCGUCUGGGCAUGAAAUCGUCUAAGCCAGAAGAAAAGGAGUCUACAAAAGAUAAACCUGUUGAGGACCAAAGCCUUCCUGAAGAAGACAAACCUUUGGACCCAGUACUUGAGGCCAGAAAGAAGAAAUUCGAAUCAAAAGAAAUCAAAAUCAGGGAGGGAGUGAUAAGACUGAAACCGAAAGUGGAGGAUAGCAAUAUUAAAAAACAAGAGGAGAAACUCGAGGAAACAUCCGCUCCAGCGGUAAAAAGCGAAGAUGACGAUGUUGUUAAUGAAGACCUCUUGUUGGAGGACGACGAGUUGGAGUUGGAUGCCGACCACGCCGAUUUGUUUAGCGACGAAGACUCUGCUACUGAUAACGAGGGCAGGUUUAAAGCCAAAGAAGUGUCUGAGGAAAAGCCAACAGCGAUUUCUUUUAAUAAGUUGACCAAUGGAGCUAAACCAGAGCUACGCCCUGAAAGACCUAUAGAAUCAAGACCAAGAAGAUCGAGGGCACGAUCGAGAAGCCCCCGCUUAAGAACCGGAAGGAAACUAACCGAAGUUAAAUCCGCCAUAACGCAGGCGUCUCGAUCAACGAAAUCCGAAAACGUUCAUCAGACAUCCCGGAAGAAGUUCGGCGUGAAAUCCGAACGUCAUCCGAAGAAGUUCGAAAGAAAAAUCGAGAUUAAGAUCAAGAAUCCGUCGAAGUAUACUGACCGAGAGGAAAAGGAGGCGGCGCGAGCAAUUGAAACGGGAGUGGAAGUGGGAGUGGGAAGCGAGCACGUCGUAGAUAAAGUCGAAAUCGAAGAUGACGAUGACGAAACCGAAAUCGUCAUCGAAAAUUACGAGGGUGAAAUCGAAAAUGUGUGCAGCAGUGAAGGUAGGCGAUUUGAGGGCGCAAUUAAGCAAAAAACGCGCAGAAAAGCUUCAAAGUCGCACCACAGUGUCCCGGGAGGGCGUCAGUUCCAGAUUACUACAAACCGCCCUUAAACACGCAUUGCCAGUAAAAAAACCGAAAAAAUCGAAGAAAAAAGAUCUUUCUAGUGGCGAAUUGGAGACGAUCAAAAGUCUGUUUACGGCGGAUUUUAUCGCAAGUCGGUUACAAUUGACAGUCCGUUCCAAAAGACAAGUUACCAUUUAUAAGCGUAAAAAAUUCCCGUUUGGUUUUAGAAGGUCCCAUUGUCGUCCAG